rnacentral:tRNA from 1 species
GGCUGAGCGGUAAAGCGCUUGGCUUCUAAACCAGAGGUCCCGGGUUCGUAUCCUGG